UACGUAGGGUGCGAGCGUUGUCCGGAAUUACUGGGUGUAAAGAGUUCGUAGGCCGUUUGUCGCGCCGUUUGUGAAAUUCCGGGGCUUAACUCCGGGAGUGCAGGCGAUACGGGCAUAACUUGAGUACUGUAGGGGAGACUGGAAUUCCUGGUGUAGCGGUGAAAUGCGCAGAUAUCAGGAGGAACACCGAUGGCGAAGGCGGGUCUCUGGGCUGUAACUGACGCUGAGGCUCGAAAGCGUGGGGAGCGAACAGG
rnacentral:rRNA from 1 species